rnacentral:sRNA from 1 species
UGAUUUGAGUGUCAUGAAAUAGAAACGC